rnacentral:rRNA from 1 species
UGGCGAACUGGUGAGUAACACGUGGGUAAUCUGCCCUGCACUCUGGGAUAAGCCUGGGAAACUGGGUCUAAUACUGGAUAUGACCUUUCUCCUUAUGGGGUUUGGUGGAAAGUUUUUCGGUGUAGGAUGAGCCCGCGGCCUAUCAGCUUGUUGGUGGGGUGAUGGCCUACCAAGGCGACGACGGGUAGCCGGCCUGAGAGGGUGAUCGGCCACAUUGGGACUGAUAUACGGCCCAG